AAAGAAGACACUGGACUGUGAGGAAAAAGGUAGUUGAAACGGUUGAACUAAAGACCGUUACCCCAGAGUCUCGCGAGGCGAGAACUGGCUGGUAACCGUCACCGCGCGCUUCCAAGUUCAUCAUUCAUUGGCCCACGGACCGAUCAGUCACUUCUGCUGGGCCAAUAAGCGGCAAAAGCCUCAGCGGAAACCGGAGAUUAGAGGCGAGGCCAGUGGUUUCCCAGGCUAUUUAAGUCAGUGGACCUGGCCUUGUGCUACACGCUUGCUGCUUUCGUUCCUUCCCUCUGUGCGUUAUGGGAAGGUGGGCUUGGGGAGGGGACAGUUGGUUAGCCUAGACCGCCCGGAUGCUAAGGCCUUGGGAAUGGAGGAGACGAAAAGAAGCUUUAGAGUAUUAGGAAGUUGCCCUGGUUUCCUGAUGAAAGAUCCUUUUGAAAGCUUGCUUCACCCUCUUCUGGCCGAGUUGAGCAGGAAGAGCUGCCAGUAAGAGUUUGCCCCCUGCACUGGCUGCCUCCUCUGUUUCCUCAACCAACAGCACCAACUGCCCCCCACCCCACCCCCCGCAUCUGUAUGCCUCGGAAGCUGACAGUGACCGUUGGGUUUUUCCAAUGGACACCACAACUCCAUUCCCCACAGCCUCUAGGGAAGACAGAAUAAUUGGUUGGCAGAGGCCCAACCUGAAUCCUGGAGAAAAUGUGAUAGUAGCAGCCCACGCGGAGGAGCUGGAACCUGAACACCAACCGACCCCAACGCACACCGCCCCAGCUGGAGGCAAUGCCCCCCACCCCCAGCUCUCCAAAUGCUUCCUCAGUUACCCUGGAGGAGCCGGGUGUGCGACAGACGGGGGGGCCCCAGCUCGCACACUCGUACCCAACACCCACCACGAUUAGAACCACGGACCCCGGCCUCCCGGGCCUGCCCCCAGCGCAGGCCCCCACAGAAGCAAAACACAGUCACCUUAGACUCUGGCAUACUGAGACCAGGCCCGCGCCUGGGAGCCCCCCUGCCUGCCUCUUGACCAGCGAAUAAAAACACUGAAAGAGGACUCGCGUGUCCGCUCUGCGUUUGCUUCCCGGCGCAACCGCACCUCCCUCCUCUUCUCGGUUGCAGCCUGAGACCACAUGGAUAAGGAGGGGGUGAGAGGUGAGAUGGGGGAACUGGCAGGCUCACUUGAGGCAGGUGUUUGUGGGUGCAGAUGCCCCGUGCCCCUUAAGUAAAGGUUUCCCUGGGCACCAGACGCAGCUCUCAACGGAGACCCUGGCCCCUCCCCUGUCAGGACAAUUGUGUGACAGAUUUACGUGUAGGGUUUCUUUGAGUUAUUGCAAAUAACGGGUGGGUUCCCAUAAUGAACUAUUAUGCAGCUGUUAAAAAUGUACUGGCGUAUGGGCACCAAUUCAAGGCUUGGCUGAACCACUUUAUUUCUUUUAAGAUUUUUUUUUUAAAGAAUAUUUAUUUGAAAGAAUUACAGAGAGAGGAGAGGCAGAGAGAGGUCUUCAAUCCAAUGGUUCACUCCCCAAUUGGCCGCAACAGCCAGAGCUGCGCCUAUCUGAAGCCAGGAGCCAGGAGCUUCUUCCAGGUCUCCCCCAUUGGUGCAGGGGCCCAAGGACUUGGGCCAUCUUCCACUGCUUUCCCAGGCCACAGCAGAGAGCUGGGUCGGAAGAGGAGCAGCCGGGACUAGAACCAGUGCCCAUAUGGGAUGCUGGCACUUCAGGCCAGGGCAUUAACCCGCUGCGCCACAGCGCCGGCCCCGGCUGAACCACUUUCUAUCCAACUCCCUGCUAACGCGCCUGGGAAAGCAGUGGAAGAUGGCCCACGUGCUUGGGCCCCUGCACCCGUGUGGGAGACCCCAGUGAAGCUCCUGGCUCCUGGUUUCCCUGGCCCUUCUGGCCAUUUGGGGAGUGAACCAGCAGAUGGAAGAGUCCUCUCUAUGUCUCUCCUUCUCUUGCUGUGGCUCUAACUUUCAAAUCUUUUAAUUAAAAAACAUAUUUGCAGGAGCUGGAGUGUGGCAUAGCAGGUAAAGCUGCCAUCUGCAGCGCCGCCAUCCCACAUGGACCCGGUUGGUGUCCCGGCUGCUCCAGUUCUGAUCCAGCUCCCUGGUAAUGCACCUGGGGAAGCAGCAGAAGACGGCCCAAGUGCUUGGGUCCCAGAACCCACAUGGGAGACGCAGAAGCAGCUCCUGGUUCCAAGCCUCAGCCCAGCCCAGUCCCGGCUGUUGCAACCAUUUAGGGAGUGAACCCGCAGAUGGAAGCUCUUUCUGUCUCUCCCUCUCUCUGUAACUCUGCCUUCCAAAUCGUUUUUAAACAAGAAAGUGACAUGUUUUGGGGCUGUUAGGGCCAGUGGUCCCCACCAGUGACAGCCCGGGCCGGUGGUGUGGGACAGCCCUUGCGGGAGGCAGAGCCCGCAGCCCCGCCGACUGUCCAGAAGGUUCAGAUCGGGCGGAGGACUAGAUGAGUCUGUUCCUCCCAUCACCCCGCCUCAGUUUUCCUUUCUCUUACACCUCCUUUGAGCUGCAUCAACAAACACGCCAUUCUCAAGAGCCAAAGACCUGGGUUCAAAUCCUGCCCCCAGGGACCCCUGUACCUAGGGAACUGGGAUAUGAUGCAGUCUCACGGAACCGUGGCCCCUUCCCCGCAGGGCAGCGCCCGCUCAGGCCUCUGGGGCCGGUCAGCUGCUUUUCCCCUUAUGGAAUGCUGUUCCCCGACCUCUCCGGGUGGUUAAUUCCUCGCCACUUCGGUUCCAGCUCAAAUGGCCCUUCGGAGAGUCUCCUCACUGCCUUCCGUCCUUCUCCAUAACAUGUUUCUGUUUGAUUUCGCUGUUCCCUAACUCAAAUUCUGUAUUUGCUGGCUUCUGUCUCCUGGAAAUUAGCUUUUAGGGGAGCAGGCAUCCUGUCUGUCUUGAGCACUGCUCUGUCCCACUGCCAAGAACGCUGCCUGUCGCUAAUGAGUCAGGCACCGGCGGCAUAUUCUGCAUCGUGUUUAUUUAAUCUUCCCAAAAGCCUCGUGAGACUUCCGUCUGGGGGAGAGGUUGAGGACAGAGAGGUGACAUCCAAGGAGACGUGAGUGGCAGAGCCAGAAUGAGAACCAAUUCCAGAACGUUCCGCCUCGCUCCCCUUCCCUCCCGUGUGGCCGUCAGGAGGCUUCCUUUGGAGAGAGGUGGUGCUGGGGUGGUUGAAGGAUAGGGAGCGUCAAGAGCUAGGUCAAGUUCAAAGUAGUUAAAAAAAAAAAAAAAAGGAAUAAAGUGAGCCUGGUCGCGGGAAGCAGGGGAGGAGAGGGGCCUGGCUGCAGGUCAGCAUCCUCAGGGCCUAGAGGCCGUUUUGUGUCUGAGCAGCCCACAGUCUCUGCGUACGUAGACACUGAACAGCGCCCACGGGCUGCAAGUGGUGCAGAGCACCCCACCCCCUCCCCCGACAGGGGCUGUGCGUGUCCCUAACUGAAUACCUACUGUGUGUUCCAGGCGGCUCAGGACCCGCUAAGGCCUGCGGGCUCUUGUCCUUGUUCUCUGGGUGUGGAGGGCACCGCCUGGAGCCCGCCGGGUGUGUGGUUCGCAGGGGUUACCUGCCCAGAGCGGAGACAGGUGGGGGAUCUCAGUCAUCAUUAAGGCUUAUUGACCAGCACGGCUGGAGUUUCCCAGAGAGAGGAAUUAAUCUCGCAGCCGACUGAGAGCAGGCAUCCUGCUGGGAGUAGUUACAUAAAUUCUGUUGCUCAAAUUAAUUAGGAUUGUGAUUCAUUUGUUUAAUGAGGAAGAAUCUGAAGGUGGCGAGAGGGAGGCCAGCCCGGCCUUUCAGAAGCCAGGCAAUCCCAGGGGACACUGCGGCAGGUGGGAGCCGGGCGUGAUGGGGGUGGAAGGACUCAGCCUGCCAGUGAUGGAAAGAAACUGAGGCAGGCAGGUGGGCGGGCAGCCAGCCGGGCGCGGGGCUCCUUGGGAAGAGGCUGCGGCUCCACAGCUCCUGCAGCUCAAGGCCGGGAGGUCUCCAGGCUCUGGGCGUGGAGUGUCCGCUCACAUCUGUCCAGGGUCGCGCCUCCUACUCCGCCUCUUCCCAGCCCUGGGGAAAAAAGUGCCAGCCUCUGAAAUCAUCUGGGUAGCAGUCCCAGGACCCCUCCAGCCAUUUAUCUGCCAACCCCAGCCCCAAAAAGGUGAGAUGUUAUUGUGUACCAGAAGUAGGGAAAGCCCAGACCUAGCAUCGAAGCAUGGAGAAGUUAUUCUCCCAUCCACACUGCUACUUCUAAAGAGGCCCCUCCCUUCCGCCCAACAUGCCCCUGUCGCCUGUUCAAGGUAACCCAUUAAUACAGGUGAGAAGUGCCAUCAUUGUGGCCUGUGACACCAGCACCCCAUGUUGGUGCCAGUUCGAGUCCCAGCUGUUCCACUUCUGAUCCAGCUCCCUGCUGGUGCACCUGGGGAGGCAGUGGAAGAUGGCCCAGUGCUUGGGCUCCUGCACCCACUUGGGAGACCUGGAGGAAGCUCCUGGGUCCUGGCUGUGGCCUGGCCCAGACCUGGCCAUUACAGCCAUCUGGAGAGUAAACCAGCAAAUGGAAGACCUCUCUCAUAAAAAUAAAAAAUAAAAAAAUAAAUACAGGUGAUAGCCAAGGUGGUGUCUGGAUGAGGGUGGACACGGAGGGGAAGGACUCCGGGGGCCACGAUGCAUGCUCCCGUCUGUGUGGGCUGUGCCCUUUGGGAUAGGAGAGAAAAGGUACUUCCUGGCGGCUCUGGAGUGAAGGGGUCAGAGCUGGGAACUGUUUGGAGGGAGAGAGGCAGGAUUUGCUCAGGCAGGGGAGAUUAAUGUGCCCCCCGUGGCUUCGUCAUCCACAGCUGCAGAAGUCCCCAGGGAGCCCUGUGUUCUUUCUAGGCUCCGCCACCUGUUACUGUGCCGGGCUGGAGUGGCGCAAUCUGGAUGAGCGAGCAGCCCGCCCAAAGCAGGAGCAUCGGCAAGGGCACGCCUCUGACUGCAGCCAGGCAGUCGCGCCUCCCGGAGGGAAAGCCGCAGGCGCCAAGGGGCACCAGAGAUGGCAAUCCCGCCCCCCCCCUCGCCCCGUGCCUCGGCUUCCUCCUCCUCCCAGCUGCUCUGGGGAUGUGGGGGCUGCCACUCUCGCUCCCUAGGGACUAGCCCGGCUUUAGCAGCCGCCGAAUGCUUUUUUUCAGUGUUAAGUCCCGUCUCCUCACUUCUCAUGCUUUCAAACUUUCCAGAGACUUCCAACGCAUUCUGAAUUGCUACAAAAUAGCAACCACCGGGCCAGGGAGUCCAGGGUGCUCUGGCCCCGCCUUCCUCUUGGCCCCUCCCCAGCUUCGCCCUGUCCACCCCAGCAUCUCCUCUGGAGCCUUGCAUACAAGCCCACUCCCUCCGUGAAGCCGUGGCAUUGGCUGCUCUCUUCCCCGGAACGUUUGGCCCCAGCUCCUUGCUAGAAUGGAAACUCAUUUAUUUCUCUGCUUCUGUGUCACCUCCUUGGCGAGGGCUUCCCCAGCGAGCCCAUCUUAAAGGAGCCAGGCCCCGUGCGUCACCCGUCACCUGGGGUAAGCUGCCGUCACUUUGGGCCACUUUUCCUCGGGUUGCACUGCUGUCUCCCUGCCCUGAUGGAAGCUGGAGGCCUUCCCCGGUGCAUCAGUGGGGCCCAUCCAGCGGGGAGAGCAGCAGCUGUCCUGCUUGGUGACAAGAUAACCAGCGGAGCUGCUUGGAAGCCUACGAGGAGAGAGCAACCCGAAAGGGAACAGGGAAGCAAGACAGAGGUGAUAACUGCGGGAAGCCGAGGGGCCUGUCCGAAGCAACGCACGGGGAGGCGGAGCCCACAGACCUUUCUGGAAGCUGGCAAGUCCAAGACCACGGCGCCGGCAGAGUUGGUCUCCGGGAAGGGCUCGCCCUCCGCUUCCUAGACGGCACCGUGUUGCUGUGCCCUCUGGCGGGGACAGACGCUGCGCCCUCGUGCGGCGGCAGGAGGCCCGGAAGGCCAGGCGGCUUUCGAGAGCCUCUUGUAUAAGCACAUUAACCCGAGGGGGCAUCUUGCACAGCAAGUAAGACACCUCUGGGAGGGGCCGGCGCUGUGGCAUAGUGGAAAAAGCUGCCACCUACAGUGCCGGCAUCCCAUAUGGGCGCCGGUUCGAGUCCCAGCUGCUCCCCUUUCGAUCCAGCUCUCUGUUGUGGCCUGGGAAAGCAGUAGAAGGGGCUGGAGCUGUGGUGCAGUAGGUUAAUCCUCCGCCUGCAGCGCCAGCAUCCCAUAUGGGCGCCGGUUCUAGUUCUGGCUGCUCCACUGCCAGUCCAGCUCUCUGCUGUGGCCUGGGAAAGCAGUAAAUAUGGCCCAAGUCCUUGGGCCCCUGCACCUACGUGGGAGACCAGGUAGAAGCUCCUGACUCCUGGCUUCGGAUCGGCGCAGCUCCGGCAGUUGCGGCCAUCUGGGGAGUGAACCAGCGGAUGGAAGACCUCUGUCUCUCUCUCUCUGUCUCUACCUCUCUCUGUAACUCUGUCUUUGAAAUAAAUAAAAUAAAUCUUUCAAAAAAAGAAUACGGGGAUCUGAGCUAAGACUGUGACACUUGGGGACCUUGGGAGGGAAGGAAAGGCCCCGAGGAACUGCGGCCGCUCCGCCGGGCACGGGGCCCUCGUGGAGGCAGGCUCCUUGCCCCUGCCCCUCACGAACGGGCAAGGUUUCUGAGCGGAGAGGGCCCAUCCCAGCAGGAGAUGGGAGACAGGACUUGACUCAGUAGUUCAAUGGCAACUUGACAGAGGAGGGGCGGGGGGCUGCGCAGAGAGACGCAGAGACGAGGACCUGCGGGAAGCCAUCCCUAGGCCACCAGGGGCGUCCGUGUGCUGGGAGGGAAGGGCUGCCUGGCGGGAGCUGCAGCCAGCAGAGGGCACCGCCACUACCCCUGCAUCUAAUCUGAGCGCUGGCCUAGAAGGAGGACCCUGGCCUCGCUCUCCUCCUAGCUCCCAGUCUCCUGCCAGCUUCACCCACUGGCCACACUGAUGGAGCCAUGGGCCAGGGAGCCCGCGGAUCCGCUCCAGGGGCCGGCCUUUGAAGGCACAGGGCGGUGCAGAGGAGGGCCCUCCCCUGCUGGAGAGGACAGCAGUCCAGAGACCCUCCGCUUCCUCCCAGAAGGCUCAGGGAGUGGGGACAACUUGCCAAAGGUCAUGUAGUCAGUUAGGAUGAGGCCAUCAUGACCCACUGCAUACGGGGCCUGCAUGGAAGGCAGCCAGGUGGGGCCGGCCCAGGGCAGAUCCAUCUUAACCAAAGGAAGGCAGUAGAGUAGGGGUAGCAGGACAGCCAGGUGCUGGCCACACUCCCCACCCCUGACACCUGGAAGGUGACACGCUUGCUUCCUCGUGGCUUUGUGAUCUGCUGCCUGCCCUGUAGCCCCCACCCCCUCUCUCAAAGCACAAGGACAAGAACCUAGACCCGGGAUUGGCAGGGACAAGGGCGCGAGGCUCUGCUUGCCUGCUAGCCACCCCUGCUCACCAAGCCCCUGGAGCUGCUCACUGAUCCAGCACGAGACGGUUUAAUUGAAGUCAUUACAAUAAAUGGUGCAGAAAAGCAAUGCCCUUUGUUUGCCAGAGCCUCAGAGAAACAGGAAGGCGGGGCAGGGAGCGCCGCGGCAGCCACUGCAGGUAGAUGACAGCUGUCACAGCAGAAAGGGGACAAGACUGAUGAGUCGGGGCGGGACUUGGGGCGGCAAUUGACGCGCCCGCAUUCCACAUUGGAGGGCCUGGUUUUGAGUCCCAACUCUGCUCCCCACUCUAGCUUCCCGCUAAUGCGCACCCUGGGAGGCAGCAGGUGACAGCCCAAGUACCUGGGUCCCUGCCACCCAUGUAAGAGACCUUGACUGAGUUCCAGGCUCCUGGAUUUCGUCUGGCUCAGCCCCGGCUCCUGCAGGUAUUUGGGAACCAAAUCAGUGGAUGGAAGUGCUCUCUCUCUCUCUCUCCCCGUCACCACACACACAUACACACAAUUCAGGGAGUCCCAGGUUCAAAUCCUGCCAGGUCACUUGUAAGCUCUGAGAUCUUAUCAAGUCCCUUUCUCUGCUCACGUCUGUGCCCUUGUCCAGGAAAGUGGGAGCAUUGCUGCUGCCUGUCCUUGGAGGCUCUGCUUGGCCUUGAGCCCUGCCUACAGCUUCUGCCCCGCCUCCAGCUGCCUCCCACCUCUCCCUUCACCCUGCAGGCACCCAAGUGUGUGCCCCACUCCCCACUCCUCAGGCAGGCCCCUCCUCCUAAAAUAGCCUUCUCACUCCUUUCCCGCCAUUCAAGACUCACACCCGAGUCACCUCCUCCGGGCAGUCGUCCCUCACUCAGCCUGCCUUCCCCUGAAAGCCUCUUAGCACUUUCAGGCUGUGACACCCAUCACGGCAUUUAAUACCGUAGGGUCUCCUACCUUCCUCACCUGCAUAUGCCUAACACAGACCCAGCAUCGUGACUGUUGGGGUGGGAGCGGUGGCAGGCGGUGAGGGGCAAAGAUUUCUCAGGGUCCAGGGCACGGCCAGUGUACAACAGCCCCUGCUAGAUGACAACACCCAGGAAGCCCUGAGCUCCCUUCCCAGGUACCCAACACGGCCGGGGACACGGCAGCCUCUUCUGUGGCCAGACCCAGCUGUCUGCCUUAUACCCGAUGCAGUAGCAGGAGGAUGGAGGACUCAGGUUGUGAAACCAUAGGAUUGCAGCAUUAAAAGAAACCUUUUUACGUAGCCAAAGAGAUGUCUUGAGACCUCCAAGUCUGAGUGAGAAGCAGCCUUGCCACUGGUACAUGGGUUUCUUGGGAUACUUUCUGGGGACUCAGGCAAAGCCCAAGUCAUAAGGGAAGCCAUGUCUAGGCACACAUCCAGCUGACAGCACCAACCAUCGGCCAUCUCCGCCUGGGACAUCCAGCCCGUCAAGCCUCCAGACGCCUGCAGUCCCAGCCAUGACCCGACAUGGCCAUAAGAGCCUCCCUGCUGAGCCCAGUGCGGCCAUGGCACUGGACGCUGGAUGCGGUCCCAGGAAAGAACAGGAAAUGAUGGUUCUCCCCCCGAGAGAGGCUGCAGCUCAGACAUGCCUGGUGACUUCACUGUCGUCACCCCUCCCCGCCAUCGGAGAAGCAAAAGACAAAUCUGGGGCAGGAGCAGAGGUGUGGGGGGAGAGGGAGGGAGCUGAAUGCUAUGGAAAGCAUCCCAAGUUGAUUCUGUUUAGGGAAAAUGGUUCCUUAAGUGUGCAUGAAUUUUUCUAACGUUCAAAGAGCGGCUUGCACCUUCUUACAGACUGCACGGUUCAUUGUUCUUAUUUCAGCCCUGGGUUGGUUCUAUUUUUCCUUCUCCCCAUGAGAUAAUUAGCCACGAGCUUACCUGAGUACAUUCCUCAUGUCAAGAAGACAAUGGUUUCAAAGGCAGGGAAAGCGCAGCCCCCGCGGAGGGCCCCCAGAAGACGGCCAAGCGGCAAAGCAAAGUCUCCCAGGAAAGUGCCUUGUUUCCCGAAGGAUCCAUCAUCAAAGGAGCCCCGACAAGCAGGAGGGCACACGGCAGAGUGUGUGAGCAGGUGCUGCCAGGUGGAACGGGGCGGGGGGUGCUUGGUCUGAAAUGAAGCCGGGGACCAAACUCACUCCUCUCCCUACUCACUGAGUCAUCCAGCUAACCCACAGAGCCUUGGAAAAUCUUGGCUUUGCUUUCUUUCUGUUGCUGUUGUUAGCCCCCUACAUUUUAAGCAAUAUUCCCUUCUUUUAUUUAUUUGGGAGGCAGAAACACAGAGAAAGAGUUGGGGGUGGGAGAGCUAGCGCCUCUCGGCUAGUUCACUCCCCAGGUGCAGCCGGGAACUCAAUCCAGGUCUCUCCCAAUUGCUUUGAGCCAUCACCACCGCCUCCCAGGGUCUACCCAGGUGAGAAGUUGGAGCUGGGAACUGAAUCCAAGCACUGCACAGUGGGACGCAGGCAUCUUAGCCACCAGGCCAAACAGCGCCUCCCCAAGGAGAGUGAACUGUUGAAAGGUUCACCCCACCCAGUCUCCAGCUGUGCAGGUGCGGGGAAGCCGCAUGCUGUUGUCAGCUUAGAGCCAGGCCACUCACGUCGAGCUCUGAGCUGACAGGAAAAGAACAAAGUCUCAAAAAAGGAACACACAUUCCCAAGAGCAACAGCGGAGCCAGGGUGUGCCAAACCGAGGCCGACCCCAGUCCCUUUGAACUGCUCUUAGCCAAACACUGAUUCUCUCAGUCCCCUGCUGCCACCAUCACGCUGUCCAAAACGUCAUCACAUAGCCUCAACAAAAAGCUGGGGGGUGACCUUGACAGAGCUCACGAGCUGCUCAGGCUUUGGUCAGCCUCAGCGGAAGGACCGGGAUGGCCACCGGUUGCGCCCAUCCUCCUCCGCCAGGCCAGCCCAGACACGUCCUCACAGCAGCGGCAGGCGUGGAGGGGAGAAGAGGCAGACGCACCCGCUCACACAUGCCUGUUCCAGUGUUUUGCUCGUAUCGCAUUUGCCAAGAUCGGGGACCAUUUUUUCAAGCCACCGCACGACCUUGGGCAGGUCGGCGUCCCCUCCCUGAGAAUGUCUCUCUGCAUUCUGAGCAGGAUCCUGGGACUUUGGAGGGUGGCUGAGAUCAUGACAGAAGACCAGCCGCAGGAAAGGCCCGCCAAGUGCGAUGAUGUAUUUCAAAUACGCACGCAGGGCACCGGUUGGGGGAGGGGCGUGUCCACGCUCACAGCGACACAAGGAAAACUCAGCUUCUAUUUCUAGAGGAAAUUUCAGAAUAUGAUGCACAGGUCUCGGGGGGUGAGACAGCCCAGCCGUGGGCUCGAUAAACAAGAAGUGCAGGAAGAGAGCAGAUCAAGGGCCGACAACAAGAAGUAAAUGAUGUAAUCGAAGUUACUGUUGAAGAACCUAUCAAGGAGAGAUCAAGUCAGCGGCAAGUAUCAGCGGUGACUCAGGCACGACGUCGUGUUUCUAGAAUUCUUGUCUAGUUCAAGGAGGCCAGUGUCCCAGUUUAAAGAGCACCUUGCGCCAGCGGCAGCGACAGCUAAAGGGAACUUGUGCGCAUGCUCCUUUCUCCUCCACACCUCCGACAACGCGAGCAGCUGCAGGCGCUGGCACGGGUGGCUGCCCCAGGAGAUGGCGGUGGGAGGGACCCGUGCCCACCAGCGUGGUCAAAGGGGAACCUGGGGUGGAAUCUUUAAUUUUUUUUUAUUCAAAGCAUUGUUUUUAGGGUACACCGUCACUGAAAAUAUGGCCCCAUGUUAAGGAUUGGUUUAAACAUACUUAGGAGUGGAUAUUCAGUCUAGCAGUUAAAUCCCCCAUGCACCAUGUUUGAGCGCCCGGGUGCACACCCUGGGGGGCCCUGGCAUGACCCAGGUGAGCGCAUCUCUGCUACCCACGUGGGAAACCAGGACUGAGUUUCCAGGCCCAGCUCGUGUCUACCAGCUGUUACGGGCAUUGAGGGAGUGAAGCAAGCAAUGACAUUCUCUCUCUCUCUCCCUCUCUCUCUCAUUAUUUUUUUAUUUUUUAAUUAAUAAAUAAUGUCAAACAUACUUAAGCCAAAAAAAAAAAGAUAUUCUAACCAGAUGUCCUAAUUCAAUUCAAGUACAUUUUUGAGAAAAAAAAAAAAAAAAGAAAAGAAAAAAACAGGAACACCCUCAGGAUAAAACAAACUCAGAAAUAUGUUAUGGCAGAGUAUUAGGAAAUGAGAGUCAUGGGCCUGCUGAUGGACUUCUAGAAAGUUCAGAGGGGCCAGCGUGGUAGCACAGUAGGUUAAACCACCACCUGCAACGUUGGCAUCCCAUAAGGGCACCGGUUCGAGUCCCGGCUGCUCCUUUUCCGAUACAGCUCUCUGCCGAUAGCCUGGGAAAGCAGUGGAGGAUGGCCCAAGUACUUGGGCCCUGCAUCCACAUGGGAGACCUGGAGGAAGCUCCUGGCUCCUGGCUUUGGAUCAGCUCAGCUCUAGCCGUUGCGGCCAUUUGAGGAGUGAGCCAGCCGGUGGAAGAUCUCUCUCUGUCUCUUCCUCUCUGCCUGUAACUCUGGUCUGUCAAAUAAAUAAAUCUUUGAAAAAAAAAAAAAAAAAGGAGAAAGUAAAAAAGAAAGUGUGGAGACCUAUACAUAGCCGGCCCCCUGCAGGCAGAGGCUGGGUCUGGUCAGCGUCUCGAAGGAGGGAAGAAUCGACCCAGAGGCAAAAACCAAGACCUCUGACAAGCACACUGCCCAGGACUGACCACACUGCCUGCCCCUGCUUCCUCUCCUUUACUGGGGUGUAAUUGAUAAAUAAAAAUGGCAUAUACUGGGGGUGGGGGGCAAUGUGACUUGGCAGAGCUACAGAGGGAGAGAGAGAUAUCGUCCAUCUACUGGUUCACUCCUCAAAUGGCUGCAAUGGCCAGACUGGGCCAGGCUGAAGCAGGGAGCCUGGGGCUUUAUCCAGGUCUCCAGAGUGGACACAGGGACCCAAGGACUUGGGCCAUCUUCUGCUGCUUUCCCAGGCGUGUUAGCAGGAAGCUGGAUCAGAAGUGGAGCAGCCAGGACUCGAACCGGUGCCCACAUGAGAUGCCGGCACUGCAGGCAGCGGCUUUCCUCCCUGCACCACAGCGCCGGCCCCAAGUGGGCCUGUUUGAUACGUGUAUAUAGUGAAACCUUUGCCACAACCAAGCUAAUUUCACAUGAUCAACUCUCUCUCUUUCUCUCUCUCUCUCUCUCUCUGCUUCUCUCUGUAUCUCUGCCUUUCAGGUAAAUAAAUAAAUCUUUAUUUUUUUUUUAAAUGAAAGAGGAGGGGCUCAAGCCAGCAGCUUGGCACCGCACAGCUGGAAGGCCCUGGUGCUGGGCGGACACCGGCCCCUUGACCUUGCCUGAUACUGGACUUCCUGGUCUCCAGACCGUGAACAGGUGUUUUCUAUGCCUCCCCGGAAGCUUGCCCUCCGGCCGUGUCCUCCCACACCGAGUGAGACCAGACCCCGAGACUGACUUGGGCCGACGGAACAACACGAGGCCAGCACACCACUUGAAAAGCAGGCAUAGAGGAGCCAAGAGCAUCCCAGAGCAGCCAGCCUCUGGCCGGCGAGCCAGCGACCACAGGGCCCAGCUGAGAGCUGCCAGGCUUGGCCCAGAUCACUGAAACUCCCCCUCGGAGCCGUGAGACACACAGAUCGCUGCCAGAAGCCUUGGAAAGCAACGAUUGCCUGCCAGAGGGUUCACACUCCAAAAAACACACAAUCAACAGGCAUGUAUUGAACGCUCAGCAUUCCAAGAGAAAAAUUCAGACAGGGCCUAAAGGUACUUGCAAGGGGCCAGAGGAUGGACGGGAGGAGACCUGGGGGAAGGGAGAUUCAGGAGCGCCAAGACACAGGCCCAAAGAACUAAAAGGCGCUUUUCACUGUUAAAGUCCCGUCACUUGCAACCUCCAGGCCAUGGCACCUGUCUGUGCAUAAGCCUUCUGGCCCGUGAACCCCCACCCAUCCCCAAGGCUCCUCUCCUACGCACAGACUUCCUAGCCCCACGCUGUCCCCCUCCCCACAGCCCCACCCUCUAAUUCACAGCCAUGGCAGGUGCCAGGGAAGCCCCCUGUGCCCCCCACCCCACCCCCGUGCUCAUUAGGAACAAGACGCUCUUAGUUCUGGCCACGCAGACAUUUUCCAACCUGGGCUUGCUUGCUGCUGGGAGCUGCAGCAAAUCGGCUCAGGGCCUGGUCCUUUCUCUUCCCCAGCGAGCGUCUGCAAUGACUCGAUCAACCCUUUCAACUCCGAGACCCCUUGGUCACCGGAAUCGGGGGUUAAUACCACAGCUCAGUUCAGGGGAGCACAAAGGCCAUGCGGAGCCGCGAUCACCCCUCGCUGGGGACUUCCUCUUUACUCGUGGCAAGACGGAGAAAAGAAAAAAUACCAGCAAGAUCUAACAAGACCAUGUGGAAACUUUAUUUCCUACUCCCGC